ACUACACCAAAAUUACUGUUUAGGAACGGCUAUAGUUUUGGUUCAGAAACGGUUUCAAGCCCUUUCUAAUACAAAACGGUUUCAAACCGUUUCUGAGUACAAAGAUACAGUGCAUUUCUAAAUACUUAAUUAAGAUCAGGCCCACCAUGAUGUUUAUGAGAGAUCCACACCGUGCAUCUGUUUUGAAAGAUCAUUUUAGAACAUUAGGGUAAGAUUGAGUUGGAUCGAAAAUUCAAGUGGGCCUCACGGAAGGAAAUGUGGGGAUUGAGUGACCACUGUUUGAAACAUUCAUACGGCCACCAAGUUGAUUAGUCAGGAACAAAAAAAUAAAAACCCUAUGGACCUCUCUCUCUCUCUCUCUCUCUCACGAACCCUCUCCUCUCCAAAAGCCUCUUCUCAUGAAUCCUCAAAUAUUUUCCUCUCACGAACCCUCUCCUCACGAAUCCUCAAAUAUUUCCUUCAGCGCCUCCUCUCUGCAUCCCGCUUGCAGAAGAAACCCUGAAAAUCUAGGUUUUACCACUAUUCCCUUCUAUAUGCAUUGGAUUCAGGGCAUUCUCUUCCUCCAAUCAAAUAGACCAAAGCCCUAUAAUCAAUCCUUCUAGAAAUCAGCAACACAAAACUAGAGAAAAUCAUGAGCACUAAUGAGAUCGUCCUGUGCAUUAUGAAGUCCAUGUGGUAUCAUGGCGGGCUCAGAGAAUCCAAGCCUGGGCAUUGGUUGCUGCCGAACUUUGAAACCAUGUGAACGGGGGGGUGGUAGCAUGGCAUGCAUGCAACCCAUUCAACUAUGACGUGGGCAGAGUGCACUCUUGAUGCUUGUAAAAAUGCCAUAGUGAAUGGGGAGGUGGAAAAGAAUACAGAACGUAGUCCAAAUAGAAAUGAGACAGUCUCAAGAUUGACAUUCCUAGAAUCCCGAAAAUGAAGUCUCUGAUUGCUGCUAUGGAAGCUGCAGAUGUGAAGAACAAGUGGGAGAACAGCUCAUGGGGCCGAAAGCUGAUUGUGCAGAAGAGGAGAGCUUCUCUUACAAUCAUGACAUUGCAUGGACGAUAGCUGCAAGGAAGCUUAUCUUUAAAAUCUCAUUGCCUUCAUAACAUAUUUUAGAUUUUGAUUCUCGAAUGGUGGCUUCUGUCUUCCACAGUUGCGGUAGGGCAAUCAAGGUGAACUGGGCAUAUGCCAGUGGCCAGAGGGAGGAUACUUUAGGCCACUUCAAUAUCUUUGUUGGCGACCUAAGUCCUGAAGUCACUGAUGUGACUGUGUUUGCAUGCUUUUCAGUGCAUUCCAGCUGUCCGUGAGUUCCUUGCUGCUUUUCAGAGAAAGUGAAAGUGAAGAGGAUGGUCUUGAUGAAGAUGACGAUGAUGUUGAGGAAGAGCAUGAACCGGAGCCUGAGGUUCCUGUAACUACUGAGCUGGUGGUAAAGAAGCCUCCAUCAGCUUCUCUGGUACCCAAAGAUACAGAAGGAAGCUUUCAAAGAAGGAAUUGAAGAAAAAGGAGCUUGCAUAUCUUGAAGCGAUCUUGUCUGAGUUGGGGAUCCCCAAGGAAGAGACAAAUGGCCAAGCUGCUCAGCGAUACCUAUAACAUUUGGUAGUGAUACCAAUAGCACCCUUUGAUAUGACACACUCUGAUGUUUUGAAACUAGACAAGUGCCAGAUUUGGCAAGUGUUCAACUGGAGACAUAUUGAAUGAAGAAGAGUGAUUAUUAUUAUUAUUAUUUUUUUUUUGCUAUCAAGACUUUUGCAUCAACAGGUAAAAUGUAGUUGUGUGGUAUUUGAAUUAUAAUUGCAACACUAGUAUUUUGCUAAUAUAAAUUUGAUGUUCUUUAAUGUAGGCUGCAUCACUACCAAAGAACUGUGUACUAUGACGAGAUCUCUUUGGCGAAAUCCAACUGAAGCCGAGCUCCAAGAUCUCUUUAUUAUUAUUUUUUCUGUUGUCUUUUCUGAAGAAUUCUCAACGUCAUGCUCAAUUAAUGAUGGCUCAUAUAUGACAUUUUCAACUUGAAACAGAGCUGCUUUUGUGAAAUAGAUUGAGGGGUUAUCUUUGACUUGAUUGAACUGAUUGAUUACUAUUUGCAGCUGAGCAUAUUUCUCUUAUUGGUAAAUUGUACAAAGCACAAAACAGUUUUCUGCAUAUAGUUUCUUGUUUCUACUCUUCACUGUAUGUGGUCUUAAUCUGUUGUCAAUGCAUAUCUGUUUCCUCUAAUGAUGAUUGUGUUGCCAUCAGCCACAUAUUAUUGCCGAUGUCAAACACUAUUACUGAUUUUAUUAUUAUUUUAAAGAGCAUUACAGGAUCCUGACGCAUCAUGACAUGACUAGUGUCCAGUACGCCACUUACGCCGGUCUUUACAAGUGGGGCUUAUGCCAGAUAUCCAGACUUUUGAUAUGGUGGGCUCCAUUGUGGAUGGGGAUGCCCUAAGUUCUUACAGAUUGGAAGAAAUGCAACAACUGUUUGGGAAAAAAGGCUAUAAAAGGCUAAAGAUUGGAAGGCUAGGAUCUUCUGAUGUGAAGAUUUUGAGGCCUCUUCCUUGCACUGUACGGCCCAUCAAGUCAGUGGUCUGGAUCACAGAAACAUGGAUCCAACUUGUACAGACAGUCUCAUCUGGACAUUAUGGAUGUCAUGAUGCAUCAGGAUCUGCUUGGUUUCGAUUCUCUAUACUUUGCAAGGAUUGAUUACCAGGACAGGGCAAAGCCUAAGGCAAAUGUGACACGUACAAAUCACAUCAUGUGGACAAUGGGUGAUGAUUUUCAGUACCAAUAUGCUGAAUCUUGGUUCAAACAAAUGGACAAGUUUAUCCAUCAUGUUCAAGGUAACACACUAGGACAAAAUU